rnacentral:rRNA from 1 species
AAUCAACGCUGGCGGCGUGCCUAACACAUGCAAGUCGCACGAGAAAGGGGAGCAAUCCCUGAGUAAAGUGGCGCACGGGUGAGUAACACGUGAAUCGUCUACCUCCGAGUGGGGAAUAACUGAGAGAAAUCUUAGCUAAUACCGCAUAACACUUACGAGUCAAAGCAGCAAUGCGCUUGGAGAGGAGUUCGCGGCCGAUUAGUUAGUUGGCGGGGUAAUCGGCCCACCAAGACGAUGAUCGGUAUCCGGCCUGAGAGGGCGCACGGACACACUGGAACUGAAACACGGGUCCAGACUCCGUACGGGAGGCAGCAGGUGGGGUAAUUUUGCGCAAGUGGGGGAAACCCUGACGCAGCAACGCCGCGUGGAGGAU